UACGUAGGUGGCGAGCGUUGUCCGGAAUUACUGGGUAUAAAGGGAGCGUAGGCGGGAUAUUAAGUUGAAUGUAUAAACUACCGGCUUAACCGAUAGAAGCGUUCAAAACUGAUAUUCUUGAGUGAAGUAGAGGCAGGCGGAAUUCCUAGUGUAGCGGUGAAAUGCGUAGAUAUUAGGAGGAACACCAGUGGCGAAGGCGGCCUGCUGGGCUUUAACUGACGCUGAGGCUCGAAAGCGUGGGUAGCAAACAGG
rnacentral:rRNA from 1 species